CACAGAAAAACCAACCACACCCACCACAAGCACAGCGCCCACACCACUGGUGGACCAGGGUUUUGUGAACGUUACAAUCAUGGUAACCAGCAUAGGAGACACAAUUGUAACUAACAAGCACAACGUGAAACAAGAGUCUUCGAUCUUAAACUUAGUCAUAGGAGUUAGUUGCGGUGUCCUUGUGCUCAUUGUGAUCAUUGUUGGGACAAUCAUCGCUGUCAAAAGAGCAAAACGAAAAAGUAGAAGGCGUCGAGAAAACCUGAACCAAGGAAUUGAAUUGACGACCAGAGAGGGUGAUGCCGUCUAUGCGGAGAUCGCCGAAAGCAA